rnacentral:rRNA from 1 species
AGAACGAACGCUGGCGGCGUGGAUAAGACAUGCAAGUCGAACGGGAUUACUUCUGUAGCAAUACAGAAGUAAUUUAGUGGCGAACGGGUGCGUAACACGUGGGCAAUCUGCCGAGAAGUGGGGGAUAGCUCGCCGAAAGGCGAAUUAAUACCGCAUGUGGUGAGGGGAGACAUCUUCCUGAAUCCAAAGCCGGGGCAACCUGGCGCUUUUUGAGGAGCCCGCGGCCUAUCAGCUAGUUGGUGAGGUAACGGCUCACCAAGGCUUUGACGGGUAGCUGGUCUGAGAGGACGACCAGUCACACUGGAACUGAGACACGGUCCAGACACCUACGGGUGGCAGCAGUCGAGAAUUUUCUCAAUGGGGGCAACCCGUGAAGGAGCGACGCCGCGUGGAGGAUGGAAGGCGUUUCGGGUUGUAAACUCCUGUCAUUUGAGAACAAGGUGCGAGUAUUAACUGUACUCGCUAUUGAUAGUAUCAAGAAGAGGAAGGACGACGUAACUCUGUGACCG